AUUCAAGCAAGAAUCUCUCGAUUUUUUCAAAGCCCUAGCAAGCACGCUAUAAAUUGAUUAGUUUUUUUUUUUUUUUUAAAUUAAAAGAUACAGAAAAACUUACUUUUUAUCAUACUUCCCCUCUAAAGCAUCAGGGCGAGAAUCACUUGCUCUAGGUUGAAGCAAAAAACUUGAACUAAUGAUUGAGGUGGAACCUCCAGGCGUUUCGGAUUCUUCCCGUUCCCCUGAAGGAAGCCCAUUAUUAUGUGAAAAAGUUCCAUUAAGGCUCAUCUCUUGAACCACAAAUUUCUGCUUUGGCUAUUUUCGGUGAAUAAACGCAAUUGCUAUUAAGCAAGCGUUGACUAUAGAAUUUCAAUACGUUCUUGUCGAUAUGUGCAGAAUUGGAUCCUUUUCUUGAAAAAUGACACAAUCAUUAGUAUUUAAUGAAGUAUACUAGGACUGCUUAUCUGAUUUCAAACAACCCCAUUCAGUUAUUAGUUGAAGUUUAGUACGUUGAAAAGGUUCUAAACAUGGUAAACCUGAAAUGAAUAUAGCAAUACCGCAGUGUGCUAUAAUAUUAUAUAGGUAAGCCAUCACUAAAACUAUAUGCUCAACAGUUAGUUGUCUUGUGUUCGCAGAGGUAUACAAACGUUAUUCAAUAUCACUUACUUUAUUUAUGAUCUGAAAUUUCUUCCAACUAAACUAAGGAACGGAAUCUGGUUGUGAGUUAUUCGGGUACAGUAAAAAUAAUUAUAAAGAAUAUUAAAUGAGACCCUCUAUAAUCUUAUUAUGAUCCUUA